rnacentral:rRNA from 1 species
GACAGAGGGUGCAAACGUUGUUCGGAAUUACUGGGCGUAAAGCGUGUGUAGGCGGCUAGGUAAGUCGGAUGUGAAAGCCCCGGGCUCAACUCGGGAAGUGCACUCGAUACUGCUUAGCUCGAGUACCGGAGAGGUUGGUGGAAUUCUCGGUGUAGAGGUGAAAUUCGUAGAUAUCGAGAGGAACACCGGUGGCGAAGGCGGCCAACUGGACGAGUACUGACGUUGAGACACGAAAGCGUGGGGAGCAAACAGG